rnacentral:SRP_RNA from 1 species
GCCGGGUGUGGUGGCUCAAGCCUGUAAUCCCAGCACUUUGGGAGGCCGAGACGGGCGGAUCACGAGGUCAGGAGAUCGAGACCAUCCUGGCUAACCUGGUGAACCCCCGUCUCUACUGAAAAAUACAAAAAACUAGCCGGGUGAGGCAGCCGACACCUGUAGUCNNNNNNNNNNGGACUACAGGUGUUGGCUGCCUCGCCCGGCUAGUUUUUUGUAUUUUUCAGUAGAGACGGGGUUUCACCAUGUUGGUCAGGAUGGUCUUGAUCUCUUGACCACGUGAUCCACCUGCCUCGGC